UACGUAGGGGGGCAAGCGUUGUCCGGAUUUACUGGGCGUAAAGAGCGUGUAGGCGGCCAAGCAGGUCCGUUGUGAAAAACUGGGAGGCUUAACCUCCAGACGUCGACGGAAACCGCGUGGCUAGAGUCCGGAAGAGGAGAGUGGAAUUCCUGGUGUAGCGGUGAAAUGCGCAGAUAUCAGGAAGAACACCAAUGGCGAAGGCAGCUCUCUGGGGACGGUACUGACGCUGAGACGCGAAAGCGUGGGGAGCGAACAGGG
rnacentral:rRNA from 1 species